rnacentral:misc_RNA from 1 species
CCGAGUGCGGGCCCUCUGGGUCCAACCUCCCACCCUUGUCUAUUGUACCUUGUUGCUUCGGCGGGCCCGCCUAACGGCCGCCGGGGGGCAUUUCGCCCCCGGGCCCGCGCCCGCCGGAGACAAACACUGAACACUGUCUGAAGGUUGCAGUCUGAGUCGAUUUUAAGUAAUCGUUA